rnacentral:rRNA from 1 species
UACAGAGGUGGCAAGCGUUGUUCGGAAUUACUGGGCGUAAAGGGCGCGUAGGCGGUCUUGCAAGUCCCGUGUGAAAUCCCUCGGCUCAACUGAGGAAUUGCACGGGAAACUGCUUGGCUUGAGAUCGGGAGAGGGAAGCGGAAUUCCGGGUGUAGCGGUGAAAUGCGUAGAUAUCCGGAGGAACACCGGUGGCGAAGGCGGCAUCCUGGACCAACACUGACGCUGAGUGAGCGAAAGCCAGGGGAGCAAACGGG